rnacentral:rRNA from 1 species
GACGAACGCUGGCGGCGUGCCUAAUACAUGCAAGUCGAACGAAGCUGUUUUAACUGGUGCUUGCACCGACUUAAACAACUGAGUGGCGAACGGGUGAGUAACACGUGGGUAACCUGCCCCAAAGCGGGGGAUAACAUUUGGAAACAGAUGCUAAUACCGCAUAAUCACAGAAACCACAUGGUUUCUGUGUCAAAGAUGGUUUCGGCUAUCACUUUGGGAUGGACCCGCGGCGUAUUAGCUAGUUGGUAAGGUAAUGGCUUACCAAGGCAAUGAUAGGUAGCCGAACUCAGAGGUUGAGCGGCCACAUUGGGACUGAGACCCGGCCCAAACGCCUACGGGAGGCAGCAGUAGGAAAUCUUCCACAAUGGACGAAAGUCUGAUGGAGCAACGCCGCGUGGGUGAAGAAGGUUUUCGGGUCGUAAAACUCUGUUGUCAGAGAAGAACGUGUGCGAGAGUAACUGUUCGUGCAGUGACGGUAUCUGGCCAGAAAGCCACGGCUAACUACGUGCCAGCCGCCGCAGUAA